GACGAACGCUGGCGGCGUGCUUAACACAUGCAAGUCGAACGGAAAGGCCCUGCUUUUGUGGGGUGUUCGAGUGGCGAACGGGUGAGUAACACGUGAGUAACCUGCCCUUGACUUUGGGAUAACUUCAGGAAACUGGGGCUAAUACCGGAUUGGAGCUCCUGCUGCAUGGUGGGGGUUGGAAAGUUUCGGCGGUUGGGGAUGGACUCGCGGCUUAUCAGCUUGUUGGUGGGGUAGUGGCUUACCAAGGCUUUGACGGGUAGCCGGCCUGAGAGGGUGACCGGCCACAUUGGGACUGAGAUACGGCCCAGACUCCUACGGGAGGCAGCAGUGGGGAAUAUUGCACAAUGGGCGGAAGCCUGAUGCAGCAACGCCGCGUGCGGGAUGACGGCCUUCGGGUUGUAAACCGCUUUCGCCUGUGACGAAGCGUGAGUGACGGUAAUGGGUAAAGAAGCACCGGCUAACUACGUG
rnacentral:rRNA from 1 species